GCAACCAUGACUUUGAUCCCCAUCUUCAUCUGCACACUGGUCCUCUGGACUCAAGAAUCCAUGUGUCAGGUGACUGUGACUCAGACUCCUGCAGUGAAAUCUGCUCUUCCAGGAGACACAGUCACCAUCAGCUGUAGAACAAACCCUGCAGUGUAUAAUAAUAACCGUCUACACUGGUACCUGCAGAAACCUGGAGAAGCUCCUAAACUCCUGAUCUACGAGGCUACUAACUUACAGUCAGGAACUCCAGCUCGUUUCAGUGGUAGUGGAUCUGGAUCUGACUUCACUCUGACCAUUAGAGGAGUCCAGACUGAAGAUGCAGGAGAUUAUUACUGUCAGAGUGAACAUAGUGGCUAUGUGUUCACACAGUUUGUAGACACAGAAACUGGUCUGAUAUCUGCUAAUUAG